ACGCCGUUCGUGCCGCAGCUAACGCAUUAAGCACCCCGCCUGGGAACUACGGCCGCAAGGUUGAAACUCAAAGGAAUUGGCGGGGGCCCGCACAAGCGGUGGAGCAUAUGGCUUAAUUCGAUGCAACGCGAAGAACCUUACCAGGGCUUGAAAUAUAGGGAAAAGCCAUAGAGAUAUGGUGUGCUUCGGCGUCCUAUACAGGUGGUGCAUGGUUGUCGUCAGCUCGUGCCGUGAGGUGUUGGGUUAAGUCCCGCAACGAGCGCAACCCCUAUCCUAUGUUGCCAGCGAGUUAUGUCGGGGACUCAUAGGAGACUGCCGGUGUCAAACCGGAGGAAGGUGGGGAUGACGUCAGUGCUUGCCU
rnacentral:misc_RNA from 1 species